rnacentral:rRNA from 1 species
GACAGAGGAGCCAAGCGUUGUCCGGAUUGACUGGGCGUAAAGCGCACGCAGGCGGUCGCGCGCGUGGGGUGUGAAAUCUGGCCGCUUAACGGCCAGGCGCCAUCCCAUACGGCGCGACUGGAGUGAUGCAGAGGUCGGUGGAAUUGCCGGUGUAGUGGUGAAAUGCUUAGAUAUGACAUAGAACACCAAUUGCGAAGGCAGCUCACUACACGAAUAUUGACACUGAGGCACGAAAGCGUGGGGAUCAAACAGG